UACGAAGGGGGCUAGCGUUGCUCGGAAUCACUGGGCGUAAAGGGCACGUAGGCGGCUUGUUAAGUCAGGGGUGAAAUCCUGGAGCUCAACUCCAGAACUGCCUUUGAUACUGGCGAUCUCGAGUCCGGGAGAGGUGAGUGGAACUGCGAGUGUAGAGGUGAAAUUCGUAGAUAUUCGCAAGAACACCAGUGGCGAAGGCGGCUCACUGGCCCGGUACUGACGCUGAGGUGCGAAAGCGUGGGGAGCAAACAGG
rnacentral:rRNA from 1 species